AAAUUGAAGAGUUUGAUCAUGGCUCAGAUUGAACGCUGGCGGCAGGCCUAACACAUGCAAGUCGAGCGGUAGCACAGAGAGCUUGCUCUCGGGUGACGAGCGGCGGACGGGUGAGUAAUGUCUGGGAAACUGCCUGAUGGAGGGGGAUAACUACUGGAAACGGUAGCUAAUACCGCAUAAUGUCGCAAGACCAAAGUGGGGGACCUUCGGGCCUCAUGCCAUCAGAUGUGCCCAGAUGGGAUUAGCUAGUAGGUGGGGUAACGGCUCACCUAGGCGACGAUCCCUAGCUGGUCUGAGAGGAUGACCAGCCACACUGGAACUGAGACACGGUCCAGACUCCUACGGGAGGCAGCAGUGGGGAAUAUUGCACAAUGGGCGCAAGCCUGAUGCAGCCAUGCCGCGUGUGUGAAGAAGGCCUUCGGGUUGUAAAGCACUUUCAGCGGGGAGGAAGGCGUUAAGGUUAAUAACCUCAUCGAUUGACGUUACCCGCAGAAGAAGCACCGGCUAACUCCGUGCCAGCAGCCGCGGUAAUACGGAGGGUGCAAGCGUUAAUCGGAAUUACUGGGCGUAAAGCGCACGCAGGCGGUCUGUCAAGUCGGAUGUGAAAUCCCCGGGCUCAACCUGGGAACUGCAUUCGAAACUGGCAGGCUAGAGUCUUGUAGAGGGGGGUAGAAUUCCAGGUGUAGCGGUGAAAUGCGUAGAGAUCUGGAGGAAUACCGGUGGCGAAGGCGGCCCCCUGGACAAAGACUGACGCUCAGGUGCGAAAGCGUGGGGAGCAAACAGGAUUAGAUACCCUGGUAGUCCACGCCGUAAACGAUGUCGAUUUGGAGGUUGUGCCCUUGAGGCGUGGCUUCCGGAGCUAACGCGUUAAAUCGACCGCCUGGGGAGUACGGCCGCAAGGUUAAAACUCAAAUGAAUUGACGGGGGCCCGCACAAGCGGUGGAGCAUGUGGUUUAAUUCGAUGCAACGCGAAGAACCUUACCUGGUCUUGACAUCCACAGAACUUAGCAGAGAUGCUUUGGUGCCUUCGGGAACUGUGAGACAGGUGCUGCAUGGCUGUCGUCAGCUCGUGUUGUGAAAUGUUGGGUUAAGUCCCGCAACGAGCGCAACCCUUAUCCUUUGUUGCCAGCGGUCCGGCCGGGAACUCAAAGGAGACUGCCAGUGAUAAACUGGAGGAAGGUGGGGAUGACGUCAAGUCAUCAUGGCCCUUACGACCAGGGCUACACACGUGCUACAAUGGCAUAUACAAAGAGAAGCGACCUCGCGAGAGCAAGCGGACCUCAUAAAGUAUGUCGUAGUCCGGAUUGGAGUCUGCAACUCGACUCCAUGAAGUCGGAAUCGCUAGUAAUCGUAGAUCAGAAUGCUACGGUGAAUACGUUCCCGGGCCUUGUACACACCGCCCGUCACACCAUGGGAGUGGGUUGCAAAAGAAGUAGGUAGCUUAACCUUCGGGAGGGCGCUUACCACUUUGUGAUUCAUGACUGGGGUGAAGUCGUAACAAGGUAACCGUAGGGGAACCUGCGGUUGGAUCACCUCCUUA
rnacentral:rRNA from 1 species